UACAAUUGGCCCGAAGGAUUAGAGCCUCAAUCAAUUGCAGAGUUGUACAGUGGAAAUUGAUUCUUGAUUGCUCUCUCAUGAUGCUUUGUUAAAACUACUGUUUUACAGCAACGUAAGUGGUCCUGUUCAGAUUGGAAUGCAUCCAAUUUUUAAAUGACUUUGCAAGUUUUAUAUUUAGGAUUUACUCUUUGUUUGGAUAAGGGAAACGAAGAGAAAUUAAAUAGAAGGGGUGUAGAGAAAUGAAAAGAACUCGCGUGCGCCGUUCCAAGAGUAGAUUUACAACUCCAAGGCCGUUCCAAUUCAGAAAAGUCAAUUAAAUCAAUCAUAUGUUUCCACGCAUUUUUAACGAGCGUGAGAUCAAACUCGUCAGAUCAUUCGCAAGCACGUGCCAAUAUUUUAUGACGCCGGUUCGGUUGGGGUCCGGUUCACGUUCAGCGCUCAAUAUUUCAGAGAAAACCGCCAAUGGAGGAGUGCAGAUUCGAGACGAGACUAGAGAAGAAAGUCGAGGAAAACUCGGAAACUACAAAAGGUUAGUUUCUGGAGAAACAAACGGAGAAAAGAAAUUACCGAUUUGGAGGAAGAUCACGUUAAUAGUGGGAGUAGCAGCGGUGUCUUGGAAACGGCAAAGGCUGAUAGAUCGGUAUGGUUGAUGAAGUGUCAGUUAGUGGUCGCGAAGUCAUGGCAGAGUCAUUCUUCUUCUUCAGAUUCUCACCCUCUCGCUAAGGUCGUUGUCUCACUCGAUCCUCCGCUCCGAGGAUCCCUCUGCUUUGCAGGAUAUAUUUUCCCCAUGAUCGCAUUUCACCUUUCUUUCAUGUUUCCCAAAUGGUUAUCAGUUCACUAUGGAGAUGGGUGGCAUUGGUUCUGGGAAUGUACCUAGGAGUUAUUCUCUGAACAUGUUUAAAGACUUAAUUCCAAUGUAUGUCUUUUCUGAGACAAGUAAAGGAAGGGUUGCCAUGGAAGGGAAAGUGGAACAUAAAUUUGACACGAAGCCCCGUGAGGAAAACAUAGAGGAGUAUGGAAAAUUAUGCCGUGAAAGAGCAAAUAAUUCCAUGAUUAAGAAUAGGCAAAUACAGGUAGGGAAUUUGGUGGUUCUUUUGUUUUGCUACUAUUGGUCUCAUAUGAUUAUGAUAUUAUUUUUGGUUUGAAUGAUUUCUGUACAAGGUGAUUGAUAAUGACCAAGGAAUGCACGAGACCCAUGCCUGGAAUGAUUGGCUUGAUUUCAACUAACUCAAAGGAAUGAAACUGUGAACUUUAUUGUCAAUUGUCUGCGAGCAGGAUAAGAAGAAAACAGUACCAGUUAAACAGUCAGACAUGAAGAGAACCAGGAGGGAUCAUGGGGAAUUAGAGGAUAUCAUGUUCAAGCUGUUUGAAAGACAACCAAAUUGGGCCUUGAAGCAACUUGUACAAGAAACUGAUCAACCUGCGGUGAGACUUCUGUCUUUCUUUCUUAUUGUUCUUAUUUUAUUUUUAUAUUUUCCUAUGCUUCUCAUUGAUUAAAAUGCCAUGCAUUUUGUUCCAGUUUGCCAGUAAACAUAACAAUCUUCGUGUUAAUCAUGCCUUAUUAAUUAAAUAGUUGAAAAUUUCCUAUCUUAUCUGAUUAGUUGAUUUGGUGGCAUCUGAACACAAAUCCAUGGGAGGGUUUACAAGCCAAGUACCGUGAAGCUUUCCUAAACUAAACAAUUUGGCAAUACAAUCUGUUGCCCUAUUUGCUGAUCUCUUUACCAAAAAGAAAGACACAUGCUGACCAUCUUUUCUCCUUGUCAAUGUUAUCAAGGCGAAAGGCGA
rnacentral:misc_RNA from 1 species